CAUUUGAGUGAGUGGCGGACGGGUGAGUAACACGUGGGUAACCUGCCCUAAAGUGGGGGAUAACAUUUGGAAACAGAUGCUAAUACCGCAUAAAACCUAACACCGCAUGGUGUAGGGUUGAAAGAUGGUUUCGGCUAUCACUUUAGGAUGGACCCGCGGUGCAUUAGUUAGUUGGUGAGGUAAAGGCUCACCAAGACCGUGAUGCAUAGCCGACCUGAGAGGGUAAUCGGCCACACUGGGACUGAGACACGGCCCAGACUCCUACGGGAGGCAGCAGUAGGGAAUCUUCCACAAUGGACGAAAGUCUGAUGGAGCAACGCCGCGUGAGUGAAGAAGGUUUUCGGAUCGUAAAACUCUGUUGUUGGAGAAGAAUGUAUCUGAUAGUAACUGAUCAGGUAGUGACGGUAUCCAACCAGAAAGCCACGGCUAACUACGUGCCAGCAGCCGCGGUAAUACGUAGGUGGCAAGCGUUGUCCGGAUUUAUUGGGCGUAAAGCGAGCGCAGGCGGUUUCUUAAGUCUGAUGUGAAAGCCUUCGGCUCAACCGAAGAAGUGCAUCGGAAACUGGGAAACUUGAGUGCAGAAGAGGACAGUGGAACUCCAUGUGUAGCGGUGAAAUGCGUAGAUAUAUGGAAGAACACCAGUGGCGAAGGCGGCUGUCUGGUCUGUAACUGACGCUGAGGCUCGAAAGCAUGGGUAGCAAACAGGAUUAGAUACCCUGGUAGUCCAUGCCGUAAACGAUGAGUGCUAGGUGUUGGAGGGUUUCCGCCCUUCAGUGCCGCAGCUAACGCAUUAAGCACUCCGCCUGGGGAGUACGACCGCAAGGUUGAAACUCAAAGGAAUUGACGGGGGCCCGCACAAGCGGUGGAGCAUGUGGUUUAAUUCGAAGCAACGCGAAGAACCUUACCAGGUCUUGACAUCCUUUGACCACUCUAGAGAUAGAGCUUUCCCUUCGGGGACAAAGUGACAGGUGGUGCAUGGUUGUCGUCAGCUCGUGUCGUGAGAUGUUGGGUUAAGUCCCGCAACGAGCGCAACCCUUAUUACUAGUUGCCAGCAUUUAGUUGGGCACUCUAGUGAGACUGCCGGUGACAAACCGGAGGAAGGUGGGGACGACGUCAAAUCAUCAUGCCCCUUAUGACCUGGGCUACACACGUGCUACAAUGGAUGGUACAACGAGUUGCGAGACCGCGAGGUUUAGCUAAUCUCUUAAAACCAUUCUCAGUUCGGAUUGUAGGCUGCAACUCGCCUACAUGAAGCCGGAAUCGCUAGUAAUCGCGGAUCAGCAUGCCGCGGUGAAUACGUUCCCGGGCCUUGUACACACCGCCCGUCACACCAUGAGAGUUUGUAACACCCAAAGCCGGUGAGGUAACCCU
rnacentral:rRNA from 2 species